UACGUAGGGGGCAAGCGUUGUCCGGAAUCAUUGGGCGUAAAGCGCGUGUAGGCGGUCCGGUAAGUCCGCUGUGAAAGUCGAGGGCUCAACCCUCGAAUGCCGGUGGAUACUGUCGGGCUUGGGUACGGGAGAGGCGAGUGGAAUUCCUGGUGUAGCGGUGAAAUGCGCAGAUAUCAGGAGGAACACCGAUGGCGAAGGCAGGUCUCUGGGCCACUACUGACGCUGAGAAGCGAAAGCAUGGGGAGCGAACAGG
rnacentral:rRNA from 1 species